GAUGAACGCUGGCGGCGUGCCUAAUACAUGCAAGUCGAGCGAACGGACGAGAAGCUUGCUUCUCUGAUGUUAGCGGCGGACGGGUGAGUAACAAGUGGAUAACCUACCUAUCAGACUGGGAUAACUUCGGGAAACCGUAGCUAAUACCGGAUAAUAUUUUGAACCGCAUGGUUCAAGAGUGAAAGACGGUCUUGCUGUCACUUAUAGAUGGAUCCGCGCUGCAUUAGCUAGUUGGUAAGGUAACGGCUUACCAAGGCAACGAUGCAUAGCCGACCUGAGAGGGUGAUAGCCCACACUGGAACGGAGACACGGUCCAGACUCCUACGAGAGGCAGCAGAAGGGAAUCUUCCGCAAUGGGCGAGAGCCUGACGGAGCAACGCCGCGCGAGUGAUGAAGGUCUUCGGAUCGUAAAGCUCUGUUAUGAGGGAAGAACAUAUGUGUAAGUAACUGUGCACAUCGUGACGGUACCUAAUCAGAAAGCCCCGGCUAACUACGUG
rnacentral:rRNA from 1 species